AACGAACGCUGGCGGCAGGCUUAACACAUGCAAGUCGAACGCCCCUUUCGGGGGGAGUGGCAGACGGGUGAGUAACGCGUGGGAACGUGCCCUUCAGUUUGGAAUAACCCAGGGAAACUUGGGCUAAUACCGGAUACGCCCUUCGGGGGAAAGAUUUAUCGCUGAAGGAUCGGCCCGCGUCUGAUUAGCUGGUUGGUGAGGUAAUGGCUUACCAAGGCGACGAUCAGUAGCUGGUCUGAGAGGAUGAUCAGCCACAUUGGGACUGAGACACGGCCCAAACUCCUACGGGAGGCAGCAGUGGGGAAUAUUGGACAAUGGGCGCAAGCCUGAUCCAGCCAUGCCGCGUGAGUGAUGACGGCCUUAGGGUUGUAAAGCUCUUUCGCACGCGACGAUAAUGACGGUAGCGUGAGAAGAAGCCCCGGCUAACUUCGUGCCAGCCGCCGCGGUAAAAC
rnacentral:rRNA from 1 species